GACAUAUAGAUCAUAAAAUAUUUCCAUACACCAAAUAUAGUUGAACUAUUGCAUAUAGUAUUAGAAAAAAAGACCAAAACUCAAAAACUUAACUUUGACCACUGAACCAUGAAAAUGAGGUCAAGGUCAGAUGACACCUGCCAGCUAGACAUGUACACCUUACAAUCAUUCCAUACACCAAAUAUAGUAGACCUAUUGCAUACAGUAUAAGAAAAACAGACCAAAACACAAAAACUUAACUAUAACCACUGAACCAUGAAAA